GGGCGUAAAGCGUCCGCAGGCGGCCCUUCAAGUCUGCUGUUAAAAAGUGGAGCUUAACUCCAUCAUGGCAGUGGAAACUGUUGGGCUUGAGUGUGGUAGGGGCAGAGGGAAUUCCCGGUGUAGCGGUGAAAUGCGUAGAUAUCGGGAAGAACACCAGUGGCGAAGGCGCUCUGCUGGGCCAUCACUGACGCUCAUGGACGAAAGCCAGGGGAGCGAAAG
rnacentral:rRNA from 1 species